CACGUCUUAAAAGUAUGUAAUUCACGCAUGUUUCUCGCGGCUCUCCCAAGGCGCUCUUAGACGACUUCACGGCGGCCAAAGCGGCGUUCCCGGGGAAACCCCUGAUCACGUGCAUUCUGGAGGCGCUUUUGCUCUCCCGGAAGGGGCUUCAAAUGGAUCCGAAUUUCCCUGCUCAAGAACAUCCUGGAGGCGCUUCUGCUUUCCCGGACGGGACUUCAAACGGAUCCGAAUCAGUUCGUGCCACAGCUACUCGGGCGCCUGGAGGACAAUGAGUCUGCGAGGAGGAGGAGGAGAUCAAAAUCUGGAACAUCAAGGUCGACCCUCCACGGUUGCUACGCAAUGUGACGGGUAAAGCUCAGUGCAGAAAGGUCGCGUUGUGUCAUGGUGACGAGUGGAUCGCCAUGAAAUUGGGCAACGGAAUAAAAGUAGAAGGUCUGCACACAGGACAUGUUCCACUGGGCCACCAGGAUUCGUUGUUCGUGACCGGCAGUGCGGGAGAGGACGCGCCCAACAUAGUCUUCGUGUAUGAUGUCGGCAGACUGGGAUACCGCGCCAUCCGAGAACUUGUUAGACGACGGUUUUUAUUUCGCUCUUUGCUAAUUGUAUGUGUAUUGCUCCCAUUUGCUUCAAUGAAUUUCGACAACAUAUAAUGAUGACUUCUAUAUGAGCCCCGUUCUGUGAAAAGCAGGGUUCAUUCAUGUGCGUAAAUUGUCGUCCCAGAUUAGCCUGUGCAGUCCGCAUAAGCUAAUCAGGAACGACACUUUCCACGUUUGUUGAACUUUUUCGUUCAACUAAAGUCUCUUUUAAACGAAAUUUCAAACUUUCGUCCCUGAUUAGCCUCUGCGGACUGCACACUCCACGCAAUGCGUUAAGCCCAGUCUUUCCCAGAACGCGGCUCAUAUAAAUAAUCUAUUAAUUACAGUUUUGUUUUCAAAUAUUUUUUAUUGAGUUUCUUUUAUGUAAUUAUUCUUUCUACACUUAAAACGUCCAUAUUUUUGUAAAAUGUUGCAUUCCCCCUGACAAUUAUUCGAUACUUAAGAUACGUUCAUGAUUAAUUUGAUUACAAAACAGUCCAAUUAAGUAAACUUUUCAAAAAUAACAAAAUAUCGUGCGUCAUACUUGCAAACGUUAUACUCAUCAGAAGGUGGCCUGCAAUGCAAACAUGAGGUUUUACGAAGCAGACAACAGAUCAGUGGUCAUGGAAAUUUACUUGUUUGACCUUGAAAAGAUGGACGUCAGCAUCGUGUCUUCGGGUCGAGUAGUCGAUACACGAGUGUGUAUCUUGACCAAACGGAAGCAACUCCUCGUGGCGUCACGUUUUGGCAAGAACGUAAAACGGUACAACAUCACAACAUCACAAACGGUUGCAUUGACGCCAUAAUAAAAACUGAACACAAGAAGGAGAUCUACCAAGUUGUGGUGAACGAUCCGGGAACGCUCGCUGCAGUGACGGUAGUUUGUGGACCUGUAGUGUUGAUGGAACCUGUCACUCACUCUCGCAUGUAUGAGAUCUCAAACAGUACGUUCAGGAGAUGCGAAAGUAUCUUUACCUCUCAAAAUUAAACAUACGUUGGAAUUUCGCGGCAUAUAUCGUACAAUAUAUUUCAAUGUUAACGGCGUUUCU